rnacentral:rRNA from 1 species
CCUACGGGCGGCAGCAGUGGGGAAUAUUGGACAAUGGGGGCAACCCUGAUCCAGCCAUGCCGCGUGUGUGAAGAAGGCCCUCGGGUUGUAAAGCACUUUCAGUGAGGAAGAACGCCUGGUGGUUAAUACCCACCAGGAAAGACAUCACUCACAGAAGAAGCACCGGCUAACUCCGUGCCAGCAGCCGCGGUAAUACGGAGGGUGCGAGCGUUAAUCGGAAUUACUGGGCGUAAAGCGCGCGUAGGUGGCUUGAUAAGCCGGUUGUGAAAGCCCCGGGCUCAACCUGGGAACGGCAUCCGGAACUGUCAAGCUAGAGUGCAGGAGAGGAAGGUAGAAUUCCCGGUGUAGCGGUGAAAUGCGUAGAGAUCGGGAGGAAUACCAGUGGCGAAGGCGGCCUUCUGGACUGACACUGACACUGAGGUGCGAAAGCGUGGGUAGCAAACAGGAUUAGAUACCCGUGUAGUC